GGUGCGAUGGUCGAGUGGUCUAAGACGACACGUUUAGGAGUGAUAAAUUCCGUGUUCCGCAAGGGCGUGGGUUCAAAUCCCACUCGCAUCA
rnacentral:tRNA from 1 species